CUGGAAAAAGAAAGUGCUGCAGGAUUCAGGGCACCAGAAAAUGCAUAAAUCCCAUCAAGUGUAAGUUCAUUAGAAACCAAACCCAACAAGUAGAUGGAGCUCAUUAUUAGACAGGAUUUGGCCCCUGGUGAAGGAAUCUGACAGCUGUAUGGUUACAUGACCAGCUCCAACUGAUCUGCCAAAAUCUGCUUUACCACAAACACAUCUCAGAGAGAAGCCCGGAACAUGCCCACCACCACGCCGGACCGAUUGCCCAUCCGAUCUGCCACCUGGAAUAUGUAAAGUGGACAGUGAUUGUCCAGGAAUAGAGAAAUGCUGUGUCAUUUGUAGCUCACAGUGCAUCAAUGUGUAAUAAGUGAUGUGAGGCGGCCGGAUGCAUCUCCGUCCCUCACAGCGGAGGACACAUCGCCGAUCAGCCUCAGUAAUUCUCUCUUCUCGCGGCUUUUCCUUCUCUAGUUGCAGAUAACCCUGGGAGGUGACAGCGGUGAAGACACUCAGGGCCGGAUCCGCUGCCCCAGGUGCUCAGUCUGAAUACACCCCCAUUAUAGCCAGAUUCCUCCUCCUUCUCAGCGAUCAUAGUGACAUUUAUCAAUGUAAUAAAGCAGAAGAUGAAAAAUGA